UGCAGUCGAGCGACUGAUUAGAAGCUUGCUUCUAAGACGUUAGCGGCGGACGGGUGAGUAACACGUGGGCAACCUGCCUGUAAGACUGGGAUAACUUCGGGAAACCGAAGCUAAUACCGGAUAGGAUCUUCUCCUUCAUGGGAGAUGAUUGAAAGAUGGUUUCGGCUAUCACUUACAGAUGGGCCCGCGGUGCAUUAGCUAGUUGGUGAGGUAACGGCUCACCAAGGCAACGAUGCAUAGCCGACCUGAGAGGGUGAUCGGCCACACUGGGACUGAGACACGGCCCAGACUCCUACGGGAGGCAGCAGUAGGGAAUCUUCCGCAAUGGACGAAAGUCUGACGGAGCAACGCCGCGUGAGUGAUGAAGGCUUUCGGGUCGUAAAACUCUGUUGUUAGGGAAGAACAAGUACGAGAGUAACUGCUCGUACCUUGACGGUACCUAACCAGAAAGCCACGGCUAACUACGUGCCAGCAGCCGCGGUAAUACGUAGGUGGCAAGCGUUAUCCGGAAUUAUUGGGCGUAAAGCGC
rnacentral:rRNA from 1 species